rnacentral:rRNA from 1 species
CAAAGAUUAAGCCAUGCAAGUGUCAGUUCAUGCCAAACUAAGGUGAAACCGCGAAAGGCUCAUUAAAUCAGUUAUAGUUUACUUGAUGGCAUGACGUUAACGUUACUUGGAUAACUGUGGCAAUUCUAGAGCUAAUACAUGCACUCGAGUCCCGACCGCUCGCGCGGAAGGGAUGCUUUUAUUAGAUCAAAACCAAUCGGGAAAUCGCGCGCCCGUGCGCGAGACCCGGCGGGCCCGAGCGGCACGUCGGGACUCCCUCGCCUCGGGGUCGAAAAACGCGUCGACGUACCGUACAGUCUUGGUGACUCUGGAUAAAUUGUCGCUGAUCGCAAGGUCGAUUUGAAGCACCUGCGACGCAUCUUUCAAAUGUCUGACUUAUCAACUAUCGACGGUAUGCCACGUGCCUACCGUGGUGGUAACGGGUAACGGGGAAUCAGGGUUCGAUUCCGGAGAGGGAGCCUGAGAAACAGCUACCACAUCCAAGGAAGGCAGCAGGCGCGCAAAUUACCCACUCCCGGCACGGGGAGGUAGUGACGAAAAAUAACGAUGCAGAACUCUUUUCCGAGGCUCUGCAAUCGGAAUGAGAAGACUCUAAAUCAUUUACCGAGUAUCCAUUGGAGGGCAAGUCUGG